rnacentral:rRNA from 1 species
GACGAGUGGCGGACGGGUGAGUAAUGCUUGGGAACUUGCCUUUGCGAGGGGGAUAACAGUUGGAAACGACUGCUAAUACCGCAUAAUGUCUACGGACCAAACGGGGCUUAGGCUCCGGCGCAAAGAGAGGCCCAAGUGAGAUUAGCUAGAUGGUGAGGUAAAGGCUCACCAUGGCGACGAUCUCUAGCUGUUCUGAGAGGAAGAUCAGCCACACUGGGACUGAGACACGGCCCAGACUCCUACGGGAGGCAGCAGUGGGGAAUAUUGCACAAUGGGGGAAACCCUGAUGCAGCCAUGCCGCGUGUGUGAAGAAGGCCUUCGGGUUGUAAAGCACUUUCAGUUGUGAGGAAAAGUUGGUAGUUAAUACCUGCCAGCCGUGACGUUAACAACAGAAGAAGCACCGGCUAACUCCGUGCCAGCAGCCGCGGUAAUACGGAGGGUGCGAGCGUUAAUCGGAAUUACUGGGCGUAAAGCGCACGCAGGCGGUUUGUUAAGCUAGAUGUGAAAGCCCCGGGCUCAACCUGGGACGGUCAUUUAGAACUGGCAGACUAGAGUCUUGGAGAGGGGAGUGGAAUUCCAGGUGUAGCGGUGAAAUGCGUAGAUAUCUGGAGGAACAUCAGUGGCGAAGGCGACUCCCUGGCCAAAGACUGACGCUCAUGUGCGAAAGUGUGGGUAGCGAACAGGAUUAGAUACCCUGGUAGUCCACACCGUAAACGCUGUCUACUAGCUGUGUGUGAAUUUAAUUCGUGCGUAGCGAAGCUAACGCGCUAAGUAGA